rnacentral:rRNA from 1 species
GACGAACGCUGGCGGCGUGCUUAACACAUGCAAGUCGAACGGAAAGGCCCUGCUUUUGUGGGGUGCUCGAGUGGCGAACGGGUGAGUAACACGUGAGUAACCUGCCCUUGACUUUGGGAUAACUUCAGGAAACUGGGGCUAAUACCGGAUAGGAGCUCCUGCUGCAUGGUGGGGGUUGGAAAGAUUCGGCGGUUGGGGAUGGGCUCGCGGCUUAUCAGCUUGUUGGUGGGGUAGUGGCUUACCAAGGCUUUGACGGGUAGCCGGCCUGAGAGGGUGACCGGCCACAUUGGGACUGAGAUACGGCCCAGACUCCUACGGGAGGCAGCAGUGGGGAAUAUUGCACAAUGGGCGGAAGCCUGAUGCAGCAACGCCGCGUGCGGGAUGACGGCCUUCGGGUUGUAAACCGCUUUCGCCUGUGACGAAGCGUGAGUGACGGUAAUGGGUAAAGAAGCACCGGCUAACUACGUG